GUAGGGAAUAUUGCACAAUGGAGGAAACUCUGAUGCAGCGACGCCGCGUGAGUGAUGAAGGCCUUCGGGUCGUAAAGCUCUGUCGCAGGGGAAUAACACAAUGAAGGUACCCUGUAAGAAAGGAUCGGCUAACUUCGUGCCAGCAGCCGCGGUAAGACGAGGGAUCCUAGCGUUGUUCGGAAUCAUUGGGCGUAAAGCGGAUGUAGGUGGCUAUGUAAGUCAGAUGUGGAAGCCUGGGGCUCAACCCCAGAAGUGCAUUUGAUACUGCGUAGCUUGAGUGUCGGAGAGGUUACUAGAAUUGUUGGUGUAGUGGUGAAAUACGUAGAUAUCAACAGGAAUACCGGAGGCGAAGGCGGGUAACUGGCCGAACACUGACACUGAGAUCCGAAAGCGUGGGGAUCAAACAGGAUUAGAAACCCGGGUAGUCC
rnacentral:rRNA from 1 species